CAUUUCUGCCAAAGAUGUUAUUAGGGCAAUUUUUUGGCCGACAAAGAUUUUUUGCCCUAGAAAGCUAAUCAAUUGAUUCUAGCAUAAGUUUGGGAGAUAUAGACCCUUUCUCCGUCGAGCACCCUGUCUAUUUCUCUAUUGAGAAUGACCCCUGCGUAAUCUUGAAGCCUGUGAUGCGGAGGACUGGAAGGGUCUAGUAUAUUAUGCUUUGAGACAAGCGGUCAUCUGAUGUUCAAAAGGCUCUCCAUGUAUAACGUUCAAAAGGAUCUCCAUGUUAGGAAUGCUGACCACCUCAAGAACUGGAGCAUCUACAAGUAUAUUAUUGGUUAAUUUACAAUUAUAUUCUUCUUCAAGCACAGUUUUCCAGAAUUCACUGCAUCUGUACCUUUAACAAGAAUCAUGGAUGUUGCUUUCGUUUGGGCUAUGGUUUAAUCUGGCACUGAGCAUCAAACAUGCUUGGCGUGGUGCUGACAACUGGUAGUGGCUGUGUUCAUUCUUUGGAGCUCUUCUUUUUAGAUCUUUUAGAGUAUAAUUUUAGCCUUGUGAAGCUCCUCAAAUGUUGAUUCAGAUCUGCAAGAAGAUUGAGAUGUAAGUUAGUUGGCCUAUUAUUUUGGUGCAUAAAUGGAUAUUCAAACCGGAACACUUGUGGAAGACUUUCAUUAUAGUGGAGGGUUGAAGAGAUACUUGUUAAAC